rnacentral:rRNA from 1 species
GCAAGUCGAACGGCAGCAUGAUCUAGCUUGCUAGAUUGAUGGCGAGUGGCGAACGGGUGAGUAAUACAUCGGAACGUGCCCUGUAGUGGGGGAUAACUAGUCGAAAGAUUAGCUAAUACCGCAUACGACCUGAGGGUGAAAGUGGGGGACCGCAAGGCCUCAUGCUAUAGGAGCGGCCGAUGUCUGAUUAGCUAGUUGGUGAGGUAAAGGCUCACCAAGGCGACGAUCAGUAGCUGGUCUGAGAGGACGAUCAGCCACACUGGGACUGAGACACGGCCCAGACUCCUACGGGAAGCAGCAGUGGGGAAUUUUGGACAAUGGGCGAAAGCCUGAUCCAGCAAUGCCGCGUGUGUGAAGAAGGCCUUCGGGUUGUAAAGCACUUUUGUCCGGAAAGAAAUGGCUCUGGUUAAUACCUGGGGUCGAUGACGGUACCGGAAGAAUAAGGACCGGCUAACUACGUGCCAGCAGCCGCGGUAAUACGUAGGGUCCAAGCGUUAAUCGGAAUUACUGGGCGUAAAGCGUGCGCAGGCGGUUGUGCAAGACCGAUGUGAAAUCCCCGAGCUUAACUUGGGAAUUGCAUUGGUGACUGCACGGCUAGAGUGUGUCAGAGGGGGGUAGAAUUCCACGUGUAGCAGUGAAAUGCGUAGAGAUGUGGAGGAAUACCGAUGGCGAAGGCAGCCCCCUGGGAUAACACUGACGCUCAUGCACGAAAGCGUGGGGAGCAAACAGGAUUAGAUACCCUGGUAGUCCACGCCCUAAACGAUGUCAACUAGUUGUUGGGGAUUCAUUUCCUUAGUAACGUAGCUAACGCGUGAAGUUGACCGCCUGGGGAGUACGGUCGCAAGAUUAAAACUCAAAGGAAUUGACGGGGACCCGCACAAGCGGUGGAUGAUGU